rnacentral:rRNA from 1 species
UACGGAGGGGGCUAGCGUUGUUCGGAAUUACUGGGCGUAAAGCGCACGUAGGCGGAUCGAUCAGUCAGGGGUGAAAUCCCGCAGCUCAACUGCGGAACUGCCUUCGAUACUGCGGGUCUCGAGUCCGGGAGAGGUGAGUGGAAUUCCUAGUGUAGAGGUGAAAUUCGUAGAUAUUAGGAAGAACACCAGUGGCGAAGGCGGCUCACUGGCCCGGUACUGACGCUGAGGCGCGAAAGCGUGGGGGAGCAAACAGGG